rnacentral:rRNA from 1 species
GACGAACGCUGGCGGCGUGCUUAACACAUGCAAGUCGAACGGAAAGGCCCUGCUUUUGUGGGGUGCUCGAGUGGCGAACGGGUGAGUAACACGUGAGUAACCUGCCCUUGACUUUGGGAUAACUUCAGGAAACUGGGGCUAAUACCGGAUAGGAGCUCCUGCUGCAUGGGGGGGGUUGGAAAGUUUCGGCGGUUGGGGAUGGACUCGCGGCUUAUGAGCUUGCUGGUGGGGUAGUGGCUUCCCACGGCUUUGACGGGUAGCCGGCCUGAGAGGGUGACCGGCCACAUUGGGACUGCGAUACGGCCCAGACUCCUACGGGAGGCAGCAGUGGGGAAUAUUGCACAAUGGGCCGAAGCCUGAUGCAGCAACGCCGCGUGCGGGAUGACGGCCUUCGGGUUGUAAACCGCUUUCGCCUGUGCCGAAGCGUGAGUGACGGUAAUGGGUAAAGAAGCACCGGCUAACUACGUG